UCACAGAUUCUGGGAAGUAAGCCUCUCUCUGUCCUACAAGGAUUACUGCAGUAUUCAGCCUUCUCUCAUCAGAUGCCAAGUUGUAGAAGGCUUAGUGGCACUUAUACACUGAGCCUGAAGAGAUGGAAGGCAACUACAAACCCUCAACUUCAUGAGCCUGGGCUGAGUGCACACUGAAGACAGAGAAUGGAGAGAGGAGCUGGAAGACAGGAUAUCAGCAAGUUUGGAAGAUGAGAAUGUCGCAAAGAAGACCAAGGCCAUGGUGGAGCAUGUGGUUGCCCGAGGAGGGGAGAAUAACCACAAGCGGAGUCCAGAAAACCGAAGGGAAAACCGAAGAAUGCAAGUGGCAGCAGCGUGAGCUGAGCGGGGAGGACUCGGAGAGUCACUUAGUCCACAGUGAGCCUGUGCCCAUGCCACGGAGCCCCACAAGAUGGAUCAGGAUUCAUUUGUACUGCUGGAGAACUGUACCAGUUCCCAGAGGAGGAGAAGGUGCCCACGAGGCUGUGCCCCAGAUCCUGAGCUUCAACCUUGGAGCUGCCUUACGGUGGAUGUCUUCCAAGAUUACUGCAGCAUUCAGCCUCUCUCAUCAGAUGCCGAGUUACGGAAGUCUAAGUGGCACUUAUACACUGAGCCUGAAGAGAUGGAAGGCAGCUACAAACCCUCAACUUCAUGAGCCUGGGCUGAGUCCACACUGAAGACAGAGAAUGGAGAGAGGAGCUGGAAGACAGGAUAUCAGCAAGUUUGGAAUAUGAGAAUUUCGCAAAGAACAAGGCCAUGGUGGAGCAUGUGGUUGCCCGAGGAGGGGAGAAUAAGCACAAGCAGAGUCCAGAAAACUGAAGGGAAACCAAGGAAUGCAAGCAGCAGCAGCGUUAGCUGAGCGGGGAAGCCUUGGAGAGUCACUUAGUCCACAGUGAGCCUGUGCCCCUGCCACGGAUCCCCAGAAGAUGGAUCAGGAUUCGUUUGUACUGCUGGAGCGCUGUACCAGUUCCCAGAGGAGGAGAAGGUGCCCACGAGGCUGUGCCCCAGAUCCUGAGCUUCAACCUUGGAGCUGCCUUACGGUGGAUGUCUUCCAAGUAAGUGUGGGCUUAGGGG
rnacentral:lncRNA from 1 species